CUAAGCUACAGAACGAUUCGGUUUUCCCUCAAUAGUUGAGAAUGUUUUAAGGAUACUGAAAUCUGAAUAUGCCUUCAAGAGCCUGAAAUGGAAAGUUCUUCUAAGAGACUGGACUAAGGAUGCUUUAAAAUGGAGGCCAACAAAGUCCACCCCAAUUCAAUAGUUCACAUAUGAUGCACCAGGCUAACAGGAAGACAGGGCCAGAGAACAUCUGCUUACAGUUGCUAUUUUUUGAAGAGGGAGAAGUGGAUGACUUGGUUAUAGUAAUGGAAGCAAUCACUCUGUGCACAGUUGUGGGAAAGCAAGGAAUGAAAAGAUGAAGUGUUCCUCCUAUGGUUUAAAGAGAGCUUCUGCCAGAGUUGGGAUAAGUCCUGUGAUUUCACUGGUACAGUGGACUCCCAGGGGAGGAAACACCCUCUACUUUCUCAGCAAUUUUUUUUGUCAUAGAGAGUUGCCAAGAGCUUUGAGAGAUUCUGUCUGAUUCCAGGACAAGAGAAUACAAAAAGAGUCAUUGCACAGUGCUAAAGAAGCACAGGGCUAAACUGCAUAGUGCCUAUUGAGCACAGGGUCAAGGAGACCAACCAAUCUCAAUGGGAUUCAUGAAAAUUUUGAGUCAAGACAAGAAGACUUGAACUUGUUUGGGGUUCGAGGUUGUGGUUGUUUAACAUGUGUUAAAGGCAGGUCUUCCUUGUCCCACAUUCUACCAAGUAUCUCAAAUUUGGCUCCUACCUGGCUCCUAUAAUCUAGUCCCUUUUCUGUUUUUCAUGGUGUGGCAAACUUUCUAUAGUCCUGGUUACUGAUUGGGUAAAUGCAUAAUUGCUUAAAUUAUUUUAAUUGAGCCCUAAUUCAAGGACCUGUUAUGGACUUAUUUUUCCUUUACUUAGAAUUUUUAUACAUAAGACUUUGAUAGUCUAUAUUUCAUCCAGAACUUAUUUUUUUUUUGGAUUUUUUUUUUGGAUUUUUUAUUUCUCUUGCCAGUUGAUUCAUAUACCUCAUAACUCAGCCAUGCAUCCCUAAGUGAUCCCUGUUUUUCAACACCCUCUUCAGGGGGGAAUGUAUUAUUAUUUAAAAUUGCAAAUUCUAAAUUCUUUUUGAGAGUAAUUUUAGGUUAAGAAACAUGCUACCUCUCCAAAUCCAGAAAAUAAACUCUUCUUAGAAGGCACCAUGAAGAUGCCUCCACAGACCACACGCUACAUCAAGAAGAUUCAGAAUGAACUUUGGGUGUAGUUGAUUGAACUGAAGGUUGAUUGAAUAUUUAAUUUGAAUGUAUACUCUGUUGCAAAAAGGGGGCUGCCCCCGACCUGACUUUUUGUCAAUGUGCCUAGUAAUUAUUGGUUUUGUUCUCUUUUCCUCUUAUCCUCAAAUUAUUGCAAUUUCAAAGUUGGUAUGUUUACAAGACCUACUGGAGAGACUAGUAUUAUUGAAAAAUCUGUUACCCUAAAGAAGAACUACAUAUCCCAGGAGCCCACUGACUUCCUGUCAUUGCGUACUUCCUGUAGACAGAGGAUAAAGGGCGUGGGCUUUGGAGGCUCCCUCUCUCUGAUGUAGAAUCAGCAGUGACAGUGGUGAGUGGGGAUGGCUAAAAAAUGGCUAACCAGCCAUGGGCACGUGGUCUUUAUUUUGUAUCUUCUUUAUUCCUUGAUUUUUAAAGAUCCUUAAUAAAUCUCUUAAAAUAUAAUAUUAUUAUUGAGAUUUAAUUUUAACUUUUACACAAGAACAAGACACGAGAUUUGGACAAGGACAAUGUGGAAAUGUAUUUUGUUUGAAAUGUAUUUCAAGCAGUCUUUUCCUUUUGUGUGUGUGUGUGAGGGGGAGUAGGGUGAGAGUCGGGGAGACAGAGAAAGAAAGAGACAGACAGAAUUUAUACCAUAUAGACCCCAGGGUCCUCAUUAUGCAGGUACUUUGUCUCCAAGAUCUUGAGUGUGGUGCUCACUUUAUCUGUCUUUUCCCAUUAGCUCUUCCACAAUCAAACUAAGCCUGUUACUUACCUUUAGAGCCAAGGCCUCCCAUCUCUCAAUCCCUCUCUCUGUACAAAGCUGAUCUGGUUGUUCUUGAUUCCCUGCUCAACCUGCUUCCUAAUCAUCUCCCUGAAUAAUGUGUUCAGACUCUGAAAGUCUCUGAAUCACCGUGACCCUCUUGCUUUCUUUCCUCCUGAUUCAAACCAUAGAAUGUCAUUGGAGAAAGAUACACAUUAGUACAAACUAAUUCAUGUUUUUAAGUUUUACUGUAUGCUUUCCAUUGUUGAUUAAUUAAAAAUAAACAGUAUUAUUUGUUAUUUCCCUACUGAGCAACUUUGGUGUAUGUACACCCAGGUUACCAACCCUGAUUUUUCC